AAACAUUUUAAAUACCUUUAUUUUAGAAAUACUUAAAUUUAAUUUACUUACUGUAUGUGGGCAUUAUGCUUAAAUACAGAUAUCCUUUUUUUAAAUCUAUUUUUUUCCGACUCAUUACAAAUGCCUACUAGCAGGGUACAUGACCAUUUUAUGUAUAUACGUAAUCUACUGUAUGUGAGAAAAAAACAUGUAUUUUUUGCUAUAAAUUCAUUUU